rnacentral:rRNA from 1 species
GAUGAACGCUAGCUACAGGCUUAACACAUGCAAGUCGAGGGGCAUCAGGAAGAAAGCUUGCUUUCUUUGCUGGCGACCGGCGCACGGGUGAGUAACACGUAUCCAACCUGCCCUUUACUCGGGGAUAGCCUUUCGAAAGAAAGAUUAAUACCCGAUAGCAUAAUGAUUCCGCAUGGUUUCAUUAUUAAAGGAUUCCGGUAAAGGAUGGGGAUGCGUUCCAUUAGGUUGUUGGUGAGGUAACGGCCCACCAAGCCUUCGAUGGAUAGGGGUUCUGAGAGGAAGGUCCCCCACAUUGGAACUGAGACACGGUCCAAACUCCUACGGGAGGCAGCAGUGAGGAAUAUUGGUCAAUGGGCGCUAGCCUGAACCAGCCAAGUAGCGUGAAGGAUGAAGGCUCUAUGGGUCGUAAACUUCUUUUAUAUAAGAAUAAAGUGCAGUAUGUAUACUGUUUUGUAUGUAUUAUAUGAAUAAGGAUCGGCUAACUCCGUGCCAGCAGCCGCGGUAAUACGGAGGAUCCGAGCGUUAUCCGGAUUUAUUGGGUUUAAAGGGAGCGUAGGUGGACUGGUAAGUCAGUUGUGAAAGUUUGCGGCUCAACCGUAAAAUUGCAGUUGAUACUGUCAGUCUUGAGUACAGUAGAGGUGGGCGGAAUUCGUGGUGUAGCGGUGAAAUGCUUAGAUAUCACGAAGAACUCCGAUUGCGAAGGCAGCUCACUGGACUGCAACUGACACUGAUGCUCGAAAGUGUGGGUAUCAAACAGGAUUAGAUACCCUGGUAGUCCACACAGUAAACGAUGAAUACUCGCUGUUUGCGAUAUACAGUAAGCGGCCAAGCGAAAGCAUUAAGUAUUCCACCUGGGGAGUACGCCGGCAACGGUGAAACUCAAAGGAAUUGACGGGGGCCCGCACAAGCGGAGGAACAUGUGGUUUAAUUCGAUGAUACGCGAGGAACCUUACCCGGGCUUAAAUUGCAGUGGAAUGAUGUGGAAACAUGUCAGUGAGCAAUCACCGCUGUGAAGGUGCUGCAUGGUUGUCGUCAGCUCGUGCCGUGAGGUGUCGGCUUAAGUGCCAUAACGAGCGCAACCCUUAUCUUCAGUUACUAACAGGUCAUGCUGAGGACUCUGGAGAGACUGCCGUCGUAAGAUGUGAGGAAGGUGGGGAUGACGUCAAAUCAGCACGGCCCUUACGUCCGGGGCUACACACGUGUUACAAUGGGGGGUACAGAAGGCAGCUAGCGGGUGACCGUAUGCUAAUCCCAAAAUCCUCUCUCAGUUCUGAUCGAAGUCUGCAACCCGACUUCGUGAAGACUGGAUUCGCUAGUAAUCGCGCAUCAGCCACGGCGCGGUGAAUACGUUCCCGGGCCU